CUUAACCGCCGCACUAGCAAGUCAAAACAGUAACCUUAGCACUUCACGACGUUGUACUUGGAAGUUAAUGCAACAAUUUUAACUUAGAGCUAUAUGUACACCUUGUGAUACUCCAGAAUAUAUAUAAAAGCUACAGUCCAAAUUUCGAUGCAAAUACUUCAGUCGUCUUCGAGAUUUUUCUCGAACAUGGAAAAAUACAUUUUAUCUUUAAGUAAAAUGAAGGAUAAUUUCCUGGAAAUAACGAGUGCGACGCGAGAGGUGAGGACAGAAAGGAAAUACACCACCAUCGGUUGCGCCACGGUAUGGGCAGACUGGAUCUGCAAUUAAGCCUAUAAGUUAUUUACGGUAUUUGAAAUUACAUCUCGCGAUGUUUGUCUGAGUAAUUUAGUCCGGGACGGAAGCACUGCGCGUCCAGUUUUUAUCGCCGAAUUUUCUACAGAAUUUGUACGCCAAGAAUCUCCAUUUUCAAGCUUCAGCUAUUUAUUUAUUAUAUUUAUUCUUGUCAUUUUAUUAGUACGUAAACGUAUUCAAAGAACGUGUUGAAAAUAUUUCACGCGGUUUGUAUAUUUAGAAACUCGGCUUAUCGACUGCAGGCAUUUGGAGAGUAUUAAAAUUCAAAUGGAUCCUCGAGGCACGAAUUUCUUUCGAACAGGAUGAAGAAGGAAAAUACAUGUAUAACAUGAAGAGUAAUGAAUAACAUUGCCUCUGAGUCAGAAUUUUAAACAAUCACUCCAUUCUUUAUAAUCGACACCGUACGAAACAAUCGCCAUCGAAUAUAAAACCGUUCACAGAUUCGGAUUACCGGAAACUGGUCAGCUUCAGAUGUUCAUUAAUUCGCCGAUUUCUUCUUUUUCGUUUUUUUCUUAAUUUGCUAACCUAGGUCGAUGAAAUGGUUCAUUGUUUGCAAAGAAAAAGGAAAAAAAAAAUUUGUAAAGCAUGAUCAAACCCUACUUUGAUUUAUGAGUAAUUCAUGGUACUAUAAAAAGAGAAUGACAGAACUCACUGCUUCAAACUUCAUAAGUACGUGAUUCUAAAGAAUUGUUAGCUAAUACCGUAAAAUGUUUAAGAGGCUAUACCAAUGCGAAACUUAAAAAA